rnacentral:rRNA from 1 species
UACGUAGGGGGCAAGCGUUGUCCGGAAUUAUUGGGCGUAAAGAGCGCGUAGGCGGUCCGAUAAGUCGGCUGCGAAAGUCAGGGGCUCAACCCUUGAAAGCCGGCCGAUACUGUCGGACUAGAGUCCGGAAGAGGCAAGGUGGAAUUCCCGGUGUAGCGGUGAAAUGCGCAGAUAUCGGGAGGAACACCAGCGGCGAAGGCGGCACUCUGGGCUGGAACUGACGCUGAGGAGCGAAAGCGAUGGGUAGCAAACGAGGA